UGGAUAAUAUUCCGGAUAAUAAACUGAGC
rnacentral:piRNA from 1 species